UACGUAGGGUGCGAGCGUUGUCCGGAAUUACUGGGCGUAAAGAGCUCGUAGGUGGUUUGUCGCGUUGUUCGUGAAAACUCACAGCUUAACUGUGGGCGUGCGGGCGAUACGGGCAGACUGGAGUACUGCAGGGGAGACUGGAAUUCCUGGUGUAGCGGUGGAAUGCGCAGAUAUCUGGAGGAACACCGGUGGCGAAGGCGGCAUCCUGGACCAAUACUGACGCUGAGGAGCGAAAGCGUGGGGAGCAAACAGG
rnacentral:rRNA from 1 species